CUCAGCCAAAGCUCAGCACAUGGACACACCAAACUGCAGAGAGAUGAUAUCUUUACUCUGGAUGGCCAGGUGCUCAGCAAAACCAGCUUAGCAAAACCCCAUGGAAAAUGGGGAGAACAGUUUUGGGUGGAAUUGUUUCUGCCGAAGCACCUUUCAGGUUGUUGACUACCAUGGACUUCAACUCUGUUUUCUGACCCAGACAUGAAUCCUAUGGAUAGAUCCAGGGAUGUCAAUAGCAGGCACCACAUUCUGCUGACCUCUAAAAUAGAGUAUUCAUAACCUGGUCAAGAUCACUGUGCUCAGCUCUCCCUUCCCUU
rnacentral:lncRNA from 1 species